AUAACGUCAUGCUGUCUACGG
rnacentral:miRNA from 1 species